ensembl:lncRNA
CAUGCUGGUGACCUGGGCAAUGAAGAGUUUUUGUGGCAGAAGAAAGCAACUGUAUCUCAAGAGGGCUGAGUUCCUUGUGCCAACAACUGACCAGCGUACUUUGGAUUCCAGGACAUUACGAAACCCUGCUGUUGUUUUGAUAGAAGAGAAGGAGGGAUGAAACAAACUGGAUGUUUCAGCUCUACUCUACCUCAACUUAAAACACAAGAUGCUGAAGAGAAAGCCAAAAAUGCAGAAGCUCUCAGGAAAGUGAUCACGGAUUCUCCAGUUACUGCUGAAAUAGCUCCCUGAAGAUGAUGUGUUAUGCUUCCUUUCCAUUUUUAUUUGGCAAUCCUCAAAAGCACAUCACAUGUGUGACCUCCCUUGUCCUAUCUUUGUCCUCAAACAUUAAUUAGUUUAUGCUUUGUGACUAACUCCUGCCAACUAGUAUCUCUGAAGUUAAUCAUGCCACUUGGGACACGUGUAUAAGCUUAGAUUCUAUGUAAUAGCACUAAUUAUAAAAUGAGAUUAUUAUAAGGUUAUUUGGCUUCAGAAUUGUAUUGUUUUGUGAGGGUACAGAAAAGCAUGGUAAGUUUUCAGAUGUUGCUGGUGAAAGGAAAAGUUUGAGUAUAAAGUGCUGCUCCCCAGUUCAUUAACACCUUUAUUUGUCUUUCUUCACUAUUCCUUUCCCUCUUCCAUGGCAAUAUCCUACGGCAACGGUAAAAGCUAUAGUUGAUGCCAGUGAAACCAGUGGGAAUUCUGAUAAAGUUAACACUGAUUGUUUUAGCAAUAAAGCAUGGUGUCUGUUACU